UACGUAGGAGGCGAGCGUUAUCCGGAUUUACUGGGCGUAAAGAGGGCGCGGGUGGCUUUUCAAGUCGGGUGUAAAAUCUCCCUGCUCAACAGGGAGGGAUCAUUCGAUACUGUUGAGCUAGAGAGCAGCAGAGGGAGGCAGAAUUCCCGGUGGAGUGGUGAUAUGCGUAGAUAUCGGGAAGAAUACCAGCGGCGAAGGCGGCCUCCUGGGCUGUUUCUGACACUGAGGCCCGAAAGCGUGGGGAGCGAACAGGAUUAGAUACCCCCGUA
rnacentral:rRNA from 1 species